CAUACUGCUCAAGUUGCUGGUAUGAGCUAUGUUUCUCGGACUCUUCAAAAAUGUCAUCGAGUGCGUGUCAGAUCCUUCAAAAGUGGUGCAAUUUUGGAGGAGUCCACAUGGGUGCAGCAACAUAUUUGGAGAGUCUGAGCAACUUAGGGUAUGAGCGGCACAUCAUGAAGACAUAAACAUUCUUAACAUAGUUAUUUCGUCCAGCCUUUAUUGAAGACUCACUCGCAUCACAUCAUGAAGACAUAAACAUUCUUAACAUAGUUAUUUCGUCCAGCCUUUAUUGAAGACUCACUCGCAU
rnacentral:misc_RNA from 1 species